GAGAGAUUGGAGAAGGAGUUGGAAUUUUGGGAAGCUCACGGCGUGGGUGGAGGGGCAAGAUAAACCCGAUUUUGCUUAUUUUGCUUGUUUGUUUGAAGCAAAAAGAGGUGUUUGUCUUACCUACCCCACCCAUGCCAUCCGUUUCCUGCUUUUCCUCCCUCUCCUCAUCUUCU
rnacentral:pre_miRNA from 1 species